rnacentral:rRNA from 1 species
GGCGUACGGUGGAUGCCUUGGC